rnacentral:tRNA from 1 species
UCCUCUGUAGCUCAGUCGGUAGAGCAGCUGGCUGUUAACCAGCGGGGGUUCGAGUCCCUCCGGAGGAGCCA